CCUACGGGAGGCAGCAGUGAGGAAUAUUGGUCAAUGGGCGCGAGCCUGAACCAGCCAAGUCGCGUGAGGGAUGAAGGUUCUAUGGAUCGUAAACCUCUUUUAUAAGGGAAUAAAGUGUGCGACGUGUCCUAUUUUGUAUGUACCUUAUGAAUAAGGAUCGGCUAACUCCGUGCCAGCAGCCGCGGUAAUACGGAGGAUCCGAGCGUUAUCCGGAUUUAUUGGGUUUAAAGGGUGCGUAGGCGGACUUUUAAGUCAGUGGUGAAAGUCUGUGGCUCAACCAUAGAAUUGCAGUUGAAACUGGGAGGCUUGAGUAUAGUUGAGGCGGGCGGAAUGCGUGGUGUAGCGGUGAAAUGCUUAGAUAUCACGAAGAACCCCGAUUGCGAAGGCAGCCUACUAGGCCGUGACUGACGCUGAGGCACGAAAGCGUGGGGAUCAAACAGGAUUAGAUACCCGAGUAGUC
rnacentral:rRNA from 1 species